rnacentral:rRNA from 1 species
UACAGAGGGGGCUAGCGUUGUUCGGAAUUACUGGGCGUAAAGGGCGCGUAGGUGGCCUGUUAAGUCGAACGUGAAAUCCCCGGGCUCAACCCGGGAACUGCGUCCGAGACUGGCAGGCUCGAAUCCGGGAGAGGGAUGUGGAAUUCCAGGUGUAGCGGUGAAAUGCGUAGAUAUCUGGAGGAACACCGGUGGCGAAGGCGGCAUCCUGGACCGACACUGACGCUGAGGCGCGAAAGCUAGGGGAGCAAACGGG